ensembl:snoRNA Gm24452 small nucleolar RNA SNORD27
CACUUGAUGAUGAACAAUGUGAAAGACAAGCAUAUGGCUGAGCUGUGGUGAUGUCAUCUCACUACUGAGAAGUG